AACGCACAUUGCGCCCCUUGGUAUUCCAUGGGGCAUGCCUGUUCGAGCGUCAUUUACACCCUCAAGCUUUGCUUGGUGUUGGGCGUCUGUCUUCCCUAUGGGAGACUCGCCCUAAAGGCAUUGGCAGCGGUCCUGUCGGGCCUCCUAAUCGCGCAGCACUGUUCGCGCCUCUUGGAGCCUGUUACGGAUUCAGCAUCCAUCAAGCCCAUAUUUUUUUAACUUGACCUCGAAUCAGGUAGGGAUACCCGCUGAACUUAA
rnacentral:misc_RNA from 1 species